GCGAUUUAUUUUGGUUGCUUAUGGUGUCUUGCUAAUUAUUUUAGUUAGGAAAAAUAUUUUAGGGUUUUAGUAGGUAGUUAAGGAAGAGAUAACAUUGGCUAUAGAUAAUAGUACUGUGCGGGAAUGUUGAAAUAUGUGAAAAUGAAAUAAAUAAAAAGUAUUAGUUAGGCUAAGUACCUUGUGUAUUAGGGAUAUUUUAUAUUAAAUAUUUAUGAUUUAUUAUUCCCGAAAUAAGGAUAGCUAAGUUAAGGGUUGAGUUUUUGUGGUAAAAAAAUUCAAAACCUUGUUUUAGUAGUGAAACGUUAAUCGGGCCUUAAGAUAUCUGGUUUUUUUUGAAAAAAAUUGAAUUUUUUCUUUGUGUUGAAGUGAGGCAGAGUUUAGGAAUACAGGGGGUAAGCUCUUUAUUUAAUGAUUUUAGUUAUAAAAAUAAAUAGAAAGGUACUAAACUAGGCUUAGAGGCAGUCAUGUUUUCAAAGGGUUAUACCUGGAGCACAGAGGUGAAAAUAUUUAUUAUUUUUUAAGUAAAUAAAAAAAAAUUUUUAUAAAUUUAGUUUAGAGAUUUAAAGUGAGUAUAUUAGUAUAUGAAUUGUUUAUUUGAAGUUUUUUGAAAGAUUUAGUGAAGUUUAUUUAUGGGUGGUGAUAUAAAGGAAUUCGGCAAAAAUACUUCCGCCUGUUUAUCAAAAACAUGUCUAUAUGAGAGUUAUAUAAAGUCUGGCCUGCCCACUGGGGACUAAAGGGCCGCGGUAUUAUGACCGUGCGAAGGUAGCAUAAUCAUUAGUCUUUUAAUUGAGGGCUGGAAUGAAUGGUUGGACGAGAAGUAAGCUGUCUUUAUUUCAUGGAUUGAAUUUAACUUUUAAGUGAAAAGGCUUAAAUGGGUUAGAGGGACGAUAAGACCCUAUAAAGUUUAUACAUGGAGUUAGUUAAGAGUGAUUUAGGAUAGUAAAGUUUGUUAUUAGCAAGAUGUUUGGUUGGGGCGACUAGAAUAUAAGUUAUAUAACUGUUUUUUAUUUAAGUCAGAGGUAUUUGUUUAUAGUGAUCCCUUUUUAGGAUUAAAGAGUAAAUUACUUUAGGGAUAACAGCGUAAUUUUUUUUGAGAGUUCGUAUCGACAAAAGAGUUUGCGACCUCGAUGUUGAAUUAAAAAUUUCUCUGUGGUGUAGUGGUUGCAGGAGAAGGUCUGUUCGACCUUUAAAUUUUUACAUGAUUUGAGUUCAGACCGGCGUGAGCCAGGUUGGUUUCUAUCUUCUAAGGUGGUUUAAGUUAUUUUAGUACGAAAGGAUUAAAUAAUUGAAAUAGUUUUAAUAAAAAAUCAGAAAAAAAGCUGGCUUUUUCUUUAAUUUCCAAAAUUAAUAUUUUAAAAUAAACUAU
rnacentral:rRNA from 1 species